rnacentral:rRNA from 1 species
GGGAACUCCAGGGAGACUGCCGGUGAUAAACCGGAGGAAGGUGGGGACGACGUCAAGUCAUCAUGGCCCUUACGAGUAGGGCUACACACGUGCUACAAUGGCAUAUACAGAGGGCUGCCAACUCGCGAGAGUGAGCGAAUCCCACAAAGUAUGUCGUAGUCCGGAUUGGAGUCUGCAACUCGACUCCAUGAAGUCGGAAUCGCUAGUAAUCGUAGAUCAGAAUGCUACGGUGAAUACGUUCCCGGGCCUUGUACACACCG